rnacentral:rRNA from 1 species
AUUGAACGCUGGCGGCAGGCCUAACACAUGCAAGUCGAGCGGCAGCGGGAAAAUAGCUUGCUACUUUUGCCGGCGAGCGGCGGACGGGUGAGUAAUGCCUGGGAAAUUGCCCAGUCGAGGGGGAUAACAGUUGGAAACGACUGCUAAUACCGCAUACGCCCUACGGGGGAAAGCAGGGGACCUUCGGGCCUUGCGCGAUUGGAUAUGCCCAGGGGGGAUUAGCUAGUUGGUGAGGUAAUGGCUCACCAAGGCGACGAUCCCUAGCUGGUCUGAGAGGAUGAUCAGCCACACUGGAACUGAGACACGGUCCAGACUCCUACGGGAGGCAGCAGUGGGGAAUAUUGCACAAUGGGGGAAACCCUGAUGCAGCCAUGCCGCGUGCGUGAAGAAGGCCUUCGGGUUGUAAAGCACUUUCAGCGAGGAGGAAAGGUAGAUGCCUAAUACGUAUCAACUGUGACGUUACUCGCAGAAGAAGCACCGGCUAACUCCGUGCCAGCAGCCGCGGUAACAC